CCGUAGGAGCGUGCUUAACACAUGCAAGUCGAACGAUGAAGCCCAGCUUGCUGGGUGGAUUAGUGGCGAACGGGUGAGUAACACGUGGGUGAUCUGCCCUGCACUUCGGGAUAAGCCUGGGAAACUGGGUCUAAUACCGGAUAGGACCUCGGGAUGCAUGUUCCGGGGUGGAAAGGUUUUCCGGUGCAGGAUGGGCCCGCGGCCUAUCAGCUUGUUGGUGGGGUAACGGCCCACCAAGGCGACGACGGGUAGCCGGCCUGAGAGGGCGACCGGCCACACUGGGACUGAGACACGGCCCAGACUCCUACGGGAGGCAGCAGUGGGGAAUACUGCACAAUGGGCGCAAGCCUGAUGCAGCGACGCCGCGUGAGGGAUGACGGCCUUCGGGUUGUAAACCUCUUUCAGUACCGACGAAGCGCAAGUGACGGUAGGUACAGAAGAAGCACCGGCCAACUACGUGCCAGCAGCCGCGGUAAUACGUAGGGUGCGAGCGUUGUCCGGAAUUACUGGGCGUAAAGAGCUCGUAGGCGGUUUGUCGCGUCGUCUGUGAAAACCCGCAGCUCAACUGCGGGCUUGCAGGCGAUACGGGCAGACUUGAGUACUGCAGGGGGGACUGGAAUUCCUGGUGUAGCGGUGAAAUGCGCAGAUAUCAGGAGGAACACCGGUGGCGAAGGCGGGUCUCUGGGCAGUAACUGACGCUGAGGAGCGAAAGCGUGGGUAGCGAACAGGAUUAGAUACCCUGGUAGUCCACGCCGUAAACGGUGGGCGCUAGGUGUGGGUUUCCCUUCCACGGGAUCCGUGCCGUAGCUAACGCAUUAAGCGCCCGGCUUGGGGAGUACGGCCGCAAGGCUAAAACUCAAAUGAAUUGACGGGAC
rnacentral:rRNA from 1 species